CCCUUAGAUGUUCUGGGCCGCACGCGUGCUACACUGAGUAAUUCAAUGGGUAAGGGAACGCUAGAGCAUUACCUAAUCUUGAAAUUUGCUCGUGAUGGGGAUCGACGGUUGCAAUUUUCCGUCGUGAACGAGGAAUACCUUGUAGGCGCAUGUCAUCAUCAUGCGCCGAAUACGUCCCUGCCCUUUGUACACACCGCCCGUCGCUCCUACCGAUUGAGUGAUCCGGUGAGGCUCUGGGACCUGGACGGAAAGAGCGUUUCGCUUGUUCUGUUUGGGAAACUUGGUCGAACCUUAUCAUUUAGAGGACGGAGAAGUCGUAACA
rnacentral:rRNA from 1 species